AUCAAGACUCACAGCGCCUGUCUGGAAAAAGCAUUUGUGAUCGGUACAGCCACCGGGAGGCGCAUCUGUGUGAGCCAGAGCGUCACCUGGGCUCAAGAAGCUUUUAAGCAAAAGCAGAUCGGUGAUGAAUGAAUACUCUUCAGAGUUCAUGAUCAGCCAUAAUAAAGCUCUGUGUUAUGUUAACCCAUGCUAGCAGCAAUUUUAUAAUGACUGUAUUUUCCAAAAUGCUUUGUGUAUAUAUAUUAAAAAAAACAACCCACGCAUGUUUUUUCAAUAAAAAUGUUCGGCUUUGAA